CACAAGCGGUGGAUGACGUUGGUUUAAUUCGAUGCAACGCGAAAACCUUACCCACCUUUGACAUGGCAGGAAUCCCGAAGAGAUUUGGGAGUGCUCGAAAGAGAACCUGCACACAGGUGCUGCAUGGCUGUCGUCAGCUCGUGUCGUGAGAUGUUGGGUUAAGUCCCGCAACGAGCGCAACCCUUGCCAUUAGUUGCUACGAAAGGGCACUCUAAUGGGACUGCCGGUGACAAACCGGAGGAAGGUGGGGAUGACGUCAAGUCCUCAUGGCCCUUAUAGGUGGGGCUACACACGUCAUACAAUGGCCGGUACAGAGGGUAGCCAACCCGCGAGGGGGAGCCAAUCCCACAAAGCCGGUCGUAGUCCGGAUCGCAGUCUGCAACUCGACUGCGUGAAGUCGGAAUCGCUAGUAAUCGCGGAUCAGCAUGUCGCGGUGAAUACGUUCUCGGGUCUU
rnacentral:rRNA from 1 species